AUGCAGAGGCGCUCGAGCGGCAGAGGCGAGGAGGCAAUUCCGUCUCGUUCUUGCCGUUUUGAUUCCCUCANNNNNNNNNNNNNNNNNNNNNNNNNAACGGCGCCCAUUUUUCAUUGGGUCGUUCCCCGCAUCAACAGUAGACUCCGUGCGAUCAUGGGAGAACAAGUCUAUAAAGGAUUGAUCGAUUGGGACAUUGAUUUGACCAGUCUCAAGGCGGAGCAAAUUGUUCUUAUCACCAGUUGCUCCAGCAUCACCUCGCUGAUUGAGAUGCUCAUAGCUCAGAUGAAGUACUCUAUUAUGCACUCUUCUCCAAGUAACUCAGCAUUGCGAAUUGAUCAUCCUGUUUAUGAUCUUGCUCCAAAGUUUGUGAAGAAUUUGGCUGCCAUUGCUGAAGGGCUGUUUGUGAACAUAGAUUUCCUGUGCUUCACUGUUCAGUCCCCUGUUACUAUGCAGCAAAUGGUUGCAAACACCUCCAAGGGAUUACUUCAGGUGUUCGAGGCUGUCAAUGACUUUCAUCAGGUGUUAAACUCAGCAGUUGAGAAUGACGUGGAGAUGCUGAACGAGUUGCGGAUGUAUCAUAAAAUUCUCCAGGCUGAGGACUACAAGGCUUCGGAGUACUUGGUUGGACCACUGGAAAGGCAUCUGGAUAUUGUGACAAGGAAGCUCUACAACCUCGAUAAGGAGUUGAGGCCGCUGCGCCUACGUGCUUAA
rnacentral:rRNA from 1 species